AUAUUUUAUAUAGUAAGAUCCCAUGAAGACUACAUGGUUGAUAGGUUAGAGGUGGAAGCAUAGUAAUAUGUUGAGCUGACUAAUACUAAUAGAUCGAGGAUUUAAUCCU
rnacentral:ncRNA from 1 species